GAUAUAGGAUAAAUACAUGUCUACACGAGUCCUCACAUACUUUCUUUGUUUAAGCCUUAACGUCUUCGUCAGGCUAAAGAUCCAAAUCUAUAUAUCAAUUCAUAAACACCAUGAUCGGCCUAUAGCUAGCCCUGAAGGGAAGAUCACUCCAUCUCAUAAUACAAGAUCGUGCUACUCUUCGUCGCACCUCCCAUAGAUUGAGCCACGUAGGCCGAUCCAUGAGGUAUAGUACAGAGCCUACCGAUGAUCAACAUGUGGCAAAUCACGACAAGCCCAAGAUUCUUUUCCCC
rnacentral:lncRNA from 1 species